AUUACAACGCAGUGGCAGUAUCGUAGCCAAUGAGGUUAAUCUGAAGCGCAAUUAUUGCUAAUUGAAAACUAUUCCCAAUACCCC